rnacentral:lncRNA from 1 species
UUCUCGCCCAGCUAAAUUGGUCGUGACUCAGCAUGAUAUAAGAGUCUCACCAGGGUUCGAGUAACGAUAUUGGUACUCCGAAAGAGAAGGAAAUUGUUUCACUUCUACAUACCAAUGAAACCAAUGAAAAUGGGUAUAUGAAGGAAACCGUUUCACUUCCACCUACCAAUGAAAAUUGGAAUAUGAAUGUCAGAGGAGAUUAGCUUGUCUCUGUCUGAUAUGACAGGGGAGUUUAUUAACUCCUGGCCAAGUUUAAACGUAAACUUGGUGUUGUCCCGGGAUUUUCCCGGUUCAUGGUCGUCGGGUUGGUAUUUAUCACAGGGAAUCAUGCCUCUGGAGGUAAUCUUAAUUACCUCUUUUUCUUAAAAAUAAAAUAAAAAAUUAUU